GUGCCUUUGCUGGGUUACCUACCUCAGGACCUGAUUGGAACAUCGAUCCUAAGCUACCUGCACCCUGAAGAUCGUUCUCUGAUGGUUGCCAUACACCAAAAAGUUUUGAAGUAUGCAGGGCAUCCUCCCUUUGAACAUUCUCCCAUUCGAUUUUGUACUCAAAACGGAGACUACAUCAUACUGGAUUCCAGUUGGUCCAGCUUUGUGAAUCCCUGGAGCCGGAAGGUUUCUUUCAUCAUUGGUCGGCAUAAAGUUCGAACCCAGUUCACGUGAGCGUGUCCAGCGGCUACGGGAGCCUGGGGAGCAGCGGGUCGCAGGAGCAGCUUGUCAGCAUCGCCUCCUCCAGUGAGGCCAGCGGGCACUGCGUGGAGGAGACGAAGGCGGAGCAGGUGCAUGGGCUUAUGUCACAUUCUUAUACAGGCGUCGUGUUUUCUGUACUACCUCGGUUCUGCAUGUGGUGACAUCUUAGUAUAUAUUCCUGACUUGAAGACCUCAUCUGAUAACAGAUAUUUUCAUCCAUUUUGGUUUGGAAAAAAAAGUCUGUAAAAAGAAAAUACCACCUUUGGAAAGUGAUAUUUGAAUUAAUUGUAUGCGUUCUAGAAAUUAGCAUAUUGUGAACAGAUUUAUUUAGAAUUUGUUGGUACCAGUAUACUGUGGCAUGGUGCAGGAAACUGAAUUAAAGCGAUUACUGUGCUUCAGUCAUUAUAUCUUCAAA
rnacentral:sRNA from 1 species